CGCGGCCUAUCAGCUUGUUGGUGAGGUAACGGCUCACCAAGGCAACGACGGGUAGCUGGUCUGAGAGGACGAUCAGCCACACUGGGACUGAGACACGGCCCAGACUCCUACGGGAGGCAGCAGCAGGGAAUAUUGCACAAUGGGCGAAAGCCUGAUGCAGCGACGCCGCGUGGGGGAUGAAGGCCUUCGGGUUGUAAACCCCUUUCAGGAGGGACGAAGCGAAAGUGACGGUACCUCCAGAAGAAGCCCCGGCCAACUACGUGCCAGCAGCCGCGGUAAUACGUAGGGGGCGAGCGUUGUCCGGAUUUAUUGGGCGUAAAGAGCUCGUAGGCGGCUCAACAAGUCGGCCGUGAAAGCCCGAGGCUUAACCUCGGGACGCCGGUCGAAACUGUUGUGGCUAGGGUCCGGUAGAGGAGAGUGGAAUUCCCGGUGUAGCGGUGAAAUGCGCAGAUAUCGGGAGGAACACCAGUAGCGAAGGCGGCUCUCUGGGCCGGCAUCGACGCUGAGGAGCGAAAGCUAGGGGAGCAAACAGGAUUAGAUACCCUGGUAGUCCUAGCCGUAAACGAUGGGUACUAGGUGUGGCGGAUUCAUUGACAUCUGCCGUGCCGAAGCUAACGCAUUAAGUACCCCGCCUGGGGAGUACGG
rnacentral:rRNA from 1 species